rnacentral:rRNA from 1 species
AACGAACGCUGGCGGCAUGCCUAACACAUGCAAGUCGAACGAAGUCUUCGGACUUAGUGGCGCACGGGUGCGUAACGCGUGGGAAUCUGCCCUUGGGUACGGAAUAACUCAGAGAAAUUUGUGCUAAUACCGUAUAAUGUCGUAAGACCAAAGAUUUAUCGCCCAAGGAUGAGCCCGCGUAAGAUUAGCUAGUUGGUAGGGUAAAAGCCUACCAAGGCGACGAUCUUUAGCUGGUCUGAGAGGAUGAUCAGCCACACUGGGACUGAGACACGGCCCAGACUCCUACGGGAGGCAGCAGUGGGGAAUAUUGGACAAUGGGCGAAAGCCUGAUCCAGCAAUGCCGCGUGAGUGAUGAAGGCCCUACGGGUUGUAAAGACUCUUUUACCCGGGUACGUGAUAAUGACAGUACCGGGAGAAUAAGCUCCGGCUAACUCCGUGCCACGCAGCCGCGGUAAUGUGCGC